rnacentral:rRNA from 1 species
AUGGGAACGCGAAGAACCUUACCUGGUCUGACAUCCACAGAACUUAGCAGAGAUGCUUUGGUGCCUUCGGGAACUCUGAGACAGGUGCUGCAUGGCUGUCGUCAGCUCGUGUUGUGAAAUGUUGGGUUAAGUCCCGCAACGAGCGCAACCCUUAUCCUUUGUUGCCAGCGGUUAGGCCGGGAACUCAAAGGAGACUGCCAGUGAUAAACUGGAGGAAGGUGGGGAUGACGUCAAGUCAUCAUGGCCCUUACGAGUAGGGCUACACACGUGCUACAAUGGCGCAUACAAAGAGAAGCGACCUCGCGAGAGCAAAGCGGACCUCAUAAAGUGCGUCGUAGUCCGGAUUGGAGUCUGCAACUCGACUCCAUGAAGUCGGAAUCGCUAGUAAUCGUAGAUCAGAAUGCUACGGUGAAUACGUUCCCGGGUCUUGUACACACCG